ACGCUGGCGGCGUGCCUAAUACAUGCAAGUCGAGCGGACAGAUGGGAGCUUGCUCCCUGAUGUUAGCGGCGGACGGGUGAGUAACACGUGGGUAACCUGCCUGUAAGACUGGGAUAACUCCGGGAAACCGGGGCUAAUACCGGAUGCUUGUUUGAACCGCAUGGUUCAAACAUAAAAGGUGGCUUCGGCUACCACUUACAGAUGGACCCGCGGCGCAUUAGCUAGUUGGUGAGGUAAUGGCUCACCAAGGCAACGAUGCGUAGCCGACCUGAGAGGGUGAUCGGCCACACUGGGACUGAGACACGGCCCAGACUCCUACGGGAGGCAGCAGUAGGGAAUCUUCCGCAAUGGACGAAAGUCUGACGGAGCAACGCCGCGUGAGUGAUGAAGGUUUUCGGAUCGUAAAGCUCUGUUGUUAGGGAAGAACAAGUACCGUUCGAAUAGGGCGGUACCUUGACGGUACCUAACCAGAAAGCCACGGCUAACUACGUGCCAGCAGCCGCGGUAAUACGUAGGUGGCAAGCGUUGUCCGGAAUUAUUGGGCGUAAAGGGCUCGCAGGCGGUUCCUUAAGUCUGAUGUGAAAGCCCCCGGCUCAACC
rnacentral:rRNA from 1 species